UACGGGGGGGGCAAGCGUUGUUCGGAAUUACUGGGCGUAAAGGGCUCGUAGGCGGCCAACUAAGUCAGACGUGAAAUCCCCAGGCUCAACCUGGGAACUGCGUCUGAUACUGGAUGGCUUGAAUCCGGGAGAGGGAUGCAGAAUUCCAGGUGUAGCGGUGAAAUGCGUAGAUAUCUGGAGGAAUACCGGUGGCGAAGGCGGCAUCCUGGACCGGUACUGACGCUGAGGUGCGAAAGCGUGGGGAGCAAACAGG
rnacentral:rRNA from 1 species